AUGACCACUACAGCUUCCCUUCCCACCGGUCCAAAGAUCUCUCCUGCGAUAGACAUUAGCCAAAUGGAUGACAGAUCCAGACCGUAGCCCACCUAAGACAGAAGACCACUUCCAAGAAAGUGACUGCAUGGGCCUUGAUUAGAUACAUCUCCACAGUAUUGUUAUAUGAUGUUUGUCUGAGCCAAGCCAUUGGUCUCAUGAUAUUUUUAAUUGCUUAAAUCUUGUUUUGCCUAUUGCUUUUUUACUAUUUACUUUUCUUAUUGCUAUAUUCUUG
rnacentral:lncRNA from 1 species